AAGGAACUCGGCAAAUUGACACCGUAACUUCGGAAGAAGGUGUGCCUUUAGUAGGUGAACCAUUUACUUGGGGAGCCCAAUGAGGCCGCAGAGAAUCGGUGGCUGCAACUGUUUAUUAAAAACACAGCACUCUGCAAAGACGAAAGUCGACGUAUAGGGUGUGACUCCUGCCCGGUGCUGGAAGAUUAAAUGAUGGGGUGCAAGCUCUUGACUGAAGUCCCAGUAAACGGCGGCCGUAACUAUAACGGUCCUAAGGUAGCGAAAUUCCUUGUCGGGUAAGUCCCGACCUGCACGAAUGGAGUAAUGAUGGCCACACUGUCUCCUCCAGAGACUCAGCGAAGUUGAAAUGUUUGUGAUGAUGCAAUCUCCCCGCGGAAAGACGGAAAGACCCCAUGAACCUUUACUGUAGCUUUACAUUGGACUUUGAACAGAUCUGUGUAGGAUAGGUGGGAGGCUUUGAAGAGUGGACGCUAGUUUGCUUGGAGCCAACGUUGAAAUACCACCCUGGUGUGCUUGAGGUUCUAACCUUGGUCCCUUAUCGGGAUUGGGGACAGUGUAUGGUGGGCAGUUUGACUGGGGCGGUCUCCUCCCAAAGUGUAACGGAGGAGUUCGAAGGUACGCUAAAUACGGUCGGAAAUCGUGUUGAUAGUGCAUUGGCAUAAGCGUGCUUGACUGCGAGACUGACAAGUCGAGCAGGUACGAAAGUAGGACAAAGUGAUCCGGUGGUUCUGUAUGGAAGGGCCAUCGCUCAACGGAUAAAAGGUACUCUGGGGAUAACAGGCUGAUACCGCCCAAGAGUUCAUAUCGACGGCGGUGUUUGGCACCUCGAUGUCGGCUCAUCCCAUCCUGGGGCUGUAGCCGGUCCCAAGGGUAUGGCUGUUCGCCAUUUAAAGAGGUACGUGAGCUGGGUUUAAAACGUCGUGAGACAGUUUGGUCCCUAUCUUCCGUGGGCGCUGCAAGAUUGAGAGAGCCUGCUCCUAGUACGAGAGGACCGGAGUGGACGCACCUCUGGUGUAUCGGUUGUCACGCCAGUGGCAUCGCCGAGUAGCUAAGUGCGGAAGAGAUAACCGCUGAAAGCAUCUAAGCGGGAAACUCGUCUCAAGAUGAGUCUUGCCGGGGCCUAGAGCCCCCUGAAGGGUCGUUCGAGACCAGGACGUUGAUAGGCUGGGUGUGGAAGCGCGGUAACGCGUUAAGCUAACCAGUACUAAUUGCCCGUGAGGCUUGACUC
rnacentral:rRNA from 1 species